GGGGGUGUAGCUAAGUGGUAGAGCACUUGCCUAGCAUGCAUGAGACUCUGAGUUCCAUCCCUA
rnacentral:tRNA from 1 species